AUCGAACGCUGGCGGCAGGCCUAACACAUGCAAGUCGAACGAACCUUUCGGGGUUAGUGGUUGACGGGGGAGUAACACGUUGGAACGUGCCUUUAGGUUCGGAAUAACUCAGGGAAACUUGUGCUAAUACCGGAUGUGCUCUUCGGUGGGUAAUUUUGUAGCCUUUAGAGCGGCCGGCGUCUGAUUAGCUAGAUGUUAGAGUUAAUGGCGCACGAUAGCUGGAAGCGUUAGCUGGUCUGAGAGCAUGAUCAGCCACAUUGGCACUGAGACACGGCCGGAAAUACUACGGGAGGCAGCAGUGGGGGAUCUUGCGAAAUGGGCGAAAGCAUGAAGCAGCCAUGAUGCGUGAAUGAUGAAGGUCUUAGGAUAGUAAAAUUAUUUAACCGCGGACGGUAAUGACGGUACCAGCAGAAGAAGCCCCGGCUAACUUCGUG
rnacentral:rRNA from 1 species